rfam:Desulfotomaculum sp. 46_80 MPI_scaffold_246, whole genome shotgun sequence.
GUAUAUAUCUUAAAUGCGCUAUAGACAGUUGGUGUCGUAAAGACCUAAGGGUGCAGCACCGCCAACCGAGGCCUCAUAAAACUUUGUGUGUUUUCUAUUGAAAACGGCAGGCCUCUGGUUGAAACAGAGGCUUUUUCAUUCAGCUA